ACUCCUACGGGAGGCAGCAGUGGGGAAUAUUGCACAAUGGGGGAAACCCUGAUGCAGCCAUGCCGCGUGUGUGAAGAAGGCCUUGGGUUGUAAAGCACUUUCAGUAGGGAGGAAAGUAGUGUAGUUAACACCUGCAUUAUUUGUACGUUACCUACAGAAGAAGCACCGGCUAACUCCGUGCCAGCAGCCGCGGUAAGUACGGAGGGUGCGAGCGUUAAUCGGAAUUACUGGGCGUAAAGCGCAUGCAGGCGGCCUGUUAAGUCAGAUGUGAAAGCCCGGGGCGUUAACCUCGGAAUUGCAUUUGAAACUGGCAGGCUAGAGUCUUGUAGAGGGGGUUAGAAUUUCGAGGUGUAGCGGUGAAAUGCGUAGAGAUCUGAAGGAAUACCAGUGGCGAAGGCGGCCCCCUGG
rnacentral:rRNA from 1 species